AGAGUUUGAUCCUGGCUCAGAUUGAACGCUGGCGGCAUGCCUUACACAUGCAAGUCGAACGGCAGCACGGGAGCAAUCCUGGUGGCGAGUGGCGAACGGGUGAGUAAAGUAUCGGAACGUGCCCAGUCGUGGGGGAUAACGUAGCGAAAGUUACGCUAAUACCGCAUACGAUCUAUGGAUGAAAGCGGGGGAUCGCAAGACCUCGCGCGAUUGGAGCGGCCGAUAUCAGAUUAGGUAGUUGGUGGGGUAAAGGCUCACCAAGCCGACGAUCUGUAGCUGGUCUGAGAGGACGACCAGCCACACUGGGACUGAGACACGGCCCAGACUCCUACGGGAGGCAGCAGUGGGGAAUUUUGGACAAUGGGCGAAAGCCUGAUCCAGCCAUGCCGCGUGCAGGAUGAAGGCCUUCGGGUUGGAAACUGCUUUUGUACGGAACGAAAAGGUUUGGCCUAAUAAGC
rnacentral:rRNA from 1 species